rnacentral:tRNA from 1 species
CCAGAAAAAGGAGAUUUUAACUCCCACCGCUGGCUCCCAAAGCCAAAGUUCUAAGUUAAACUAUCUUCUG